CCUGAUGCAGCGACGCCGCGUGAGGGAUGACGGCCUAUCGGGUUGUAAACCUCUUUCAGCAGGGACGAAGCGCAAGUGACGGUACCUGCAGAAGAAGCACCGGCCAACUACGUGCCAGCAGCCGCGGUAAGACGUAGGGUGCGAGCGUUGUCCGGAUUUAUUGGGCGUAAAGAGCUCGUAGGCGGCUUGUCGCGUCGACCGUGAAAACUUGGGGCUCAACCCCAAGCCUGCGGUCGAUACGGGCAGGCUAGAGUUCGGUAGGGGAGACUGGAAUUCCUGGUGUAGCGGUGAAAUGCGCAGAUAUCAGGAGGAACACCGGUGGCGAAGGCGGGUCUCUGGGCCGAUACUGACGCUGAGGAGCGAAAGCGUGGGGAGCGAACAGGAUUAGAUACCCUGGUAGUCCACGCUGUAAACGUUGGGCGCUAGGUGUGGGGGGCCUCUCCGGUUCUCUGUGCCGCAGCUAACGCAUUAAGCGCCCCGCCUGGGGAGUACGGCCGCAAGGCUAAAACUCAAAGGAAUUGACGGGGGCCCGCACAAGCGGCGGAGCAUGCGGAUUAAUUCGAUGCAACGCGAAGAACCUUACCUGGGUUUGACAUGGCCGCAAAACUUCCAGAGAUGGGAGGUCCUUCGGG
rnacentral:rRNA from 1 species